rnacentral:pre_miRNA from 1 species
AAUAUUCAUAUUUGUAUGGAAUGGGAUCGUUUGCGUACGUUUGCCGCUAGGGGCGCUGUUCCAACUGCAUACAAAAUUGGGUUA